rnacentral:rRNA from 1 species
GUGGGGAAUUGUUCGCAAUGGGCGCAAGCCUGACGACGCAACGCCGCGUGGAGGACGAAGAUCUUCGGGUCGUAAACUCCUGUCGAGCGGGAAGAACACCCAUCCGGUGAACAUCCGGGAGGGCUGACGGUACCGCUAAAGGAAGCCCCGGCUAACUCCGUGCCAGCAGCCGCGGUAAUACGGGGGGGGCAAGCGUUGUUCGGAAUUACUGGGCGUAAAGGGCUCGUAGGCGGCCAACUAAGUCGGAUGUGAAAUCCCCAGGCUCAACCUGGGAACUGCAUCCGAUACUGGAUGGCUUGAAUCCGGGAGAGGGAUGCAGAAUUCCAGGUGUAGCGGUGAAAUGCGUAGAUAUCUGGAGGAAUACCGGUGGCGAAGGCGGCAUCCUGGACCGGCAUUGACGCUGAUGAGCGAAAGCCAGGGGAGCAAACGGG